AGCAGCCGCCGCGGGAAUACAGAGGGUGCGAGCGUUAAUCGGAUUUACUGGGCGUAAAGCGUGCGUAGGCGGCUUCUUAAGUCGGAUGUGAAAUCCCUGAGCUUAACUUAGGAAUUGCAUUCGAUACUGGGAAGCUAGAGUAUGGGAGAGGAUGGUAGAAUUCCAGGUGUAGCGGUGAAAUGCGUAGAGAUCUGGAGGAAUACCGAUGGCGAAGGCAGCCAUCUGGCCUAACACUGACGCUGAGGUACGAAAGCAUGGGGAGCAAACAGGAUUAGAUACCCGCGUAGUCCCUGUCUCUUAUAC
rnacentral:rRNA from 1 species